UUUCUUUCAAUCAGCUAGUCUAACAAAUUUCCUUAAUCUUUUCUCUUUUCCUUUAUGAAAUUGUAAAUUGAUUAACUUCUUUUAUGAAUUUUGAUUUGGAAUUUAGAUUAAAGGAGCUUAUAGAAAGAAAGUAUGGGAGUCGCAUCCUGACUUGUUUCCAGUUCACCAAAAGCCUUCGGCGGAGUCUAAGUUCAAGUUGAUUGCAGAAGCU